rnacentral:lncRNA from 1 species
GGGGAGGCUUGAUAGAAUGUUAGUUAAUAAUAUUGUUUAUUAUUAACUAAAUAUUGUUAGUUAUAAUUUAGUUAAUUAAAUAAAAGUUAGUAUAUGUUAUAAUAAUAUUGUUUAUUAUAAGCUUAAGCAAAGUAAGAAUCACACAUUCUACCACAUUUCUGUGAUGCUGGCUCUGCUUUCUCAAAGCUCCUGAAGCUCUCAGCACCAAGCGACCCAUUUCCUUGAGAUUCAUUCUUCUCCCUGACAUGGUUAUCUCGUGAUCCUACUAGAAUGUCUCCAGGAAAAGAAUAAUAUGGCAAAGGAGCGCCAGACCUGAGGCACCAGAAGCUUGGGCUUUUUCCCAGGGAAGGAGAACUGGAGCUGGGACCAGCCCUUGUGACGGCAAAUCAAGACAGAUCAACUUGGAGUGUUUUGGCUGUAGUCCUGGCAGGAGACUUAGAAGUUCUUUCAUCGGAAACCCUCUGCCUUCUGACUGCAGUAGGUAAGCUAACACUUCUCUUCUCUAAAACUGACUGAAAACUCACCUCCUUCUGGAAGCCUUCCCUGCUGAGUUCUUUACUUUUGCCUUCUGUUCUGUGUCACAGAUGCAACUGGGACCUUUGAAACCAGAGAAGUGUUCUCUGUCUUUGUCAUGUG